AGUGGCGGACGGGUGAGUAACGCGUGAGAAUCUGCCUUCAGGAUGGGGACAACAGUUGGAAACGACUGCUAAUACCCAAUGUGCCUACGGGUGAAACCUUUUUUGGCCUGAAGAUGAGCUCGCGUCUGAUUAGCUAGUUGGUGGUGUAAUGGACUCACCAAGGCAACGAUCAGUAGCUGGUCUGAGAGGAUGAGCAGCCACACUGGGACUGAGACACGGCCCAGACUCCUACGGGAGGCAGCAGUGGGGAAUUUUCCGCAAUGGGCGAAAGCCUGACGGAGCAAUACCGCGUGAGGGAGGAAGGUUCUUGGAUUGUAAACCUCUUUUCUCAGGGAAGAAAAAAAUGACGGUACCUGAGGAAUAAGCAUCGGCUAACUCCGUGCCAGCAGCCGCGGUAAUACGGGGGAUGCAAGCGUUAUCCGGAAUUAUUGGGCGUAAAGAGUCCGUAGGUGGUCUUACAAGUCGACUGUCAAAGCCCGCAGCUUAACUGCGGAGAGGCGGUGGAAACUGUGAGACUUGAGUAUGGUAGGGGUAGAGGGAAUUCCCAGUGUAGCGGUGAAAUGCGUAGAUAUUGGGAAGAACACCGGUGGCGAAAGCGCUCUACUGGACCAUAACUGACACUGAGGGACGAAAGCCAAGGUAGCGAAAGGGAUUAUAUACCCC
rnacentral:rRNA from 1 species